rnacentral:rRNA from 1 species
CCGGCACGGGUGAGUAACACGUAUCCAACCUGCCGUCUACUCUUGAACAGCCUUCUGAAAGGAAGAUUAAUACAAGAUGGCAUCAUGAGUCCGCAUGUUCACAUGAUUAAAGGUAUUCCGGUAGACGAUGGGGAUGCGUUCCAUUAGGCAGUUGGUGGGGUAACGGCCCACCAAACCUUCGAUGGAUAGGGGUUCUGAGAGGAAGGUCCCCCACAUUGGAACUGAGACACGGUCCAA